rnacentral:rRNA from 1 species
UACGAAGGGUGCAAGCGUUAAUCGGAAUUACUGGGCGUAAAGCGCGCGUAGGUGGUUCAGCAAGUUGGAUGUGAAAGCCCUGGGCUCAACCUGGGAACUGCAUCCAAAACUACUGAGCUAGAGUACGGUAGAGGGUAGUGGAAUUUCCUGUGGAGCGGUGAAAUGCGUUGAGAUCGGAAGGAACGCCCGCGGCGAAAGCGAGUCUCUGGCCCCAUACUGACGCUGAGACGCGAAAGCCAGGGGAGCAAACGGGAUUAGAUACCCCAGUAGU